rnacentral:rRNA from 1 species
UACGUAGGGAGCAAGCGUUGUCCGGAAUCAUUGGGCGUAAAGCGCGCGUAGGCGGCCCGAUAAGUCCGCUGUAAAAGUCAACGGCUCAACUGUUGAAAGCCGGUGGAUACUGUCGGGCUAGAGUACGGAAGAGGCAAGUGGAAUUCCUGGGUGUAGCGGUGGAAAUGCGCAGAUAUCAGGAGGAACACCGGUGGCGAAGGCGGGAUCUCUGGGCAUACUGACGCUGAGGAGCGAAAGCGUGGGGAGCGAACAGG